UUGUCCCUCGCCGCCCGCCGUAGCCCGGCGCUCGGCCGGCCGCCGUUCCCAAGAUGGCCGCGGCGCGCUCGGGUCCUGCGGCGGGCUAGAGGCGGAGGCGGAGCCGAGUCACUCCCGCACUUCGGGGCUCCGGUCCCUCGCGCCAGGCUGCAGCUUACUGCCCGCCGCGGCCAUGCGGGGCUCCGUGCACGAAUGAAAGAAGCCGCCGCCGAGCUGGUGCCCCCUCCCGCCUUCGCCGUCACCCCUGCCGCCGCCAUGGAGGAGCCGCCGCCGCCGCCGGAACCCGAGCCCGAGCCCGAGCGCUGCCUGGCGGCGAGGCAAGCGUACACAUUGGGAGAUUCAGCUUGCAAGAGUCCUGAAUCUGAUCCUGAGGACUUUUCUGAUGAAGCAAACACAGAACAUCCGUAUGGCACCUCUCCUCCCAGCACUCCUCGACAGAUGAAACGAAUGUCAGCCAAACACCAGAGGAAUAAUGUAGGGAGGCCAAUUAGUCGAUCUUAUUUGAAAGAAAAAAUGAAUGCAUCAAAUCAGCCUCCACAUAAAGACACUGGGAAAACAGUGGAGAAUGUGGAAGAAUAUAGCUAUAAGCAAGAUAAAAAGAUCCGAGCAACUCUUAGAACAACAGAGCGUGAUCAUAAGAAAAAUGUACAGUGCUCAUUCAUGUUAGACUCAGUGAGUGGGUCUUUGCCAAAAAAAUCAAUUCCAGACGUGGAUCUCAACAAGCCUUACCUCAGCCUUGGCUGUAGCAACGCCAAGCUCCCGGUUUCUGUGCCCAUGCCUAUAGCCAGGACCGCACGCCAGACUUCCAGGACUGACUGCCCUGCAGAUCGUUUAAAGUUUUUUGAAACCCUACGACUUCUGCUAAAGCUUACCUCAGUCUCAAAGAAGAAGGAUAGGGAGCAAAGAGGACAAGAAAAUACUUCUGCUUUUUGGUUUAACCGAUCAAAUGAACUGAUUUGGUUAGAGCUACAAGCCUGGCAUGCAGGACGGACCAUUAAUGACCAGGACCUCUUUUUAUAUACAGCCCGUCAAGCCAUCCCAGAUAUUAUCAAUGAAAUCCUUACUUUCAAGGUUAAUUAUGGAAGCUUUGCCUUUGUUAGAAAUGGGGCUAGUUUCAAUGGUACUUCAAUAGAAGGGCAGUGCAAAGCUCCUCACGGAACAAAGAGUAUGGGUUACUCAACAUACCAUGAGCACCUCCAGCGCCAGAGGGUCUCAUUUGAGCAGGUAAAACGGAUAAUGGAGCUGUUGGAAUAUAUAGAAGCACUUUAUCCAUCGCUGCAGGCUCUCCAAAAGGACUAUGAAAAAUAUGCUGCGAAAGACUUCCAGGACAGGGUGCAGGCACUCUGUUUGUGGUUAAACAUCACAAAAGACUUAAACCAGAAACUGAGGAUUAUGGGCACUGUUUUAGGUAUCAAGAAUUUAUCCGACAUUGGCUGGCCAGUGUUUGAAAUCCCUUCCCCUCGACCAUCCAAAGGUAAUGAGCCAGAAGAUGAGGGCGAGGACACAGAGGGAGAAUUGAAGGAAUUGGAAAGUAGUGCAGAUGAAAGUGAAGAAGAGCGAAUCUCCCACCCGAAGGUACCAGAAGUCAGGCCGUCUGUAGACAGCGGUUUCCAUGUCCAGUCACGAGACUGUGUGUCCAAGAAGCUUGAGAGACUGGAAUCUGAGGAGGAGUCUGUGGGCUGGGGAGCGGCAGACUACAGCACCGAAGCGGGCUUCAGUAGACAUUGUCUGACUUCUAUUUAUAGGCCUUUUGUAGACAAAGCCCUGAAGCAGAUGGGGUUAAGAAAGUUAAUCUUAAGACUUCACAAGCUGAUGGAUGGCUCCUUGCAAAGGGCACGCCUAGCGCUGGUAAAGAAUGAUCGUCCAGUGGAGUUUUCUGAAUUUCCAGAUCCCAUGUGGGGUUCAGAUUACGUGCAACUAUCAAGGACGCCACCUUCCUCGGAGCAGAAACACAGUGCUGUGUCCUGGGAAGAGCUGAAGGCUAUGGACUUGCCCUCCUUCGAACCUGCCUUUUUAGUGCUUUGCCGAGUCCUGCUGAACGUCAUUCAUGAGUGUCUGAAGCUGCGACUGGAACAGAGACCCGCUGGAGAGCCAUCUCUCCUGAGUAUCAAGCAGCUGGUGAGGGAGUGUAAAGAGGUCCUCAAGGGUGGCCUUUUGAUGAAGCAGUACUACCAGUUCAUGCUGCAGGAGGUUCUAGAUGACUUGGAGAAGGCCGACUGCAACAUUGAUGCCUUCGAAGAGGAUCUGCAUAAGAUGUUGAUGGUAUAUUUUGAUUACAUGAGAAGCUGGAUCCAAAUGCUACAGCAAUUACCUCAAGCAUCCCAUAGUUUAAAAAAUCUGUUAGAAGAAGAAUGGAAUUUCACCAAAGAAAUAACUCAUUACAUACGGGGAGGAGAGGCACAGGCUGGAAAACUCUUCUGUGACAUCGCAGGGAUGCUGCUGAAAUCCACAGGGAGCUUUCUGGAAUUUGGCUUGCAGGAGAGCUGUGCCGAGUUUUGGACCAGUGCUGACGACAGCAGUGCCUCAGAUGAAAUAAGGAGGUCUGUUAUAGAGAUCAGUCGGGCACUCAAGGAGCUUUUCCACGAAGCCAGAGAAAGAGCCUCAAAAGCACUUGGAUUUGCUAAAAUGUUGAGGAAGGACCUGGAAAUAGCAGCAGAAUUUAUUCUCUCAGCCCCGGUUAGAAACCUACUAGAUGUUCUAAAAGCAAAACAGUACGUGAAGGUACAGAUUCCUGGCUUGGAGAACUUGCAAGUGUUUGUUCCAGACUCUCUGGCGGAGGAGAAGAGCAUCGUCUUGCAGUUGCUCGAUGCCGCUGCGGGGAAGGACUGUGCAAAGGACCCAGACGACGUGCUCGUGGACGCCUAUCUGCUUCUGACCAAGCCCAGUGACCGGGCCCGGGACUCAGAUGGUGGCUGGGGCACCUGGGACGCACAGCCUGUUAAGCUAGUGCCUCAGGUGGAGACCGUGGAUACCCUGAGAAGUAUGCAGGUGGACAAUCUUUUACUAGUUGUCAUGCAGUCAGCUCAUCUCACGAUGCACAGAAAAUCCUUCCAGCAGUCCAUUGAGGGGCUUAUGACUCUACGCCAGGAACAAACGUCCAGUCAGCCAGUCAUUGCCAGAGCUUUGCAGCAGCUCAAGAAUGACGCACUAGAGCUCUGCAACAGAAUAAGUGAUGCCAUUGACCGAGUAGACCACAUGUUCACCUCCGAGUUUGAUGCCGAAGUUGAUGAAUCUGAAUCUGUCACCUUGCAGCAGUAUUACCGAGAAGCAAUGAUUCAGGGGUACAAUUUUGGGUUUGAGUACCAUAAAGAAGUUGUUCGUUUGAUGUCUGGAGAGUUCAGACAGAAGAUAGGAGACAAAUACAUAAGCUUUGCCCGGAAAUGGAUGAAUUAUGUCCUGACUAAAUGUGAGAGUGGUAGAGGUACAAGACCCAGGUGGGCAACUCAAGGAUUUGAUUUUCUGCAAGCCAUUGAACCUGCCUUUAUUUCAGCUCUGCCAGAAGAUGACUUCUUGAGCCUACAAGCCUUGAUGAACGAAUGCAUCGGCCAUGUCAUAGGAAAGCCACACAGUCCUGUUACAGGUUUGUACCUUGCUAUUCAUCGGAACAGCCCCCGUCCUGUGAAGGUACCUCGAUGCCAUAGUGAUCCUCCUAACCCACAUCUAAUUAUCCCAACGCCAGAGGGAUUCAGCGCUCGGAGCGUGACUUCGGAUGGGCGGAGCCAUGGCAGCCCAGCUGCUGCUCCUGUUGCUGCCACUGCCACCACUACCACCGGCCGCCUGGCUCCCUGUGGUAGCGACUCUGUGCCACUCAAACCCAUCAGCAGUGCCCCUGAUACCAGGGGUUCCAGCGUCCCUGAAAAUGAUCGAUUGGCUUCCAUAGCUGCUGAAUUGCAGUUUAGGUCUCUGAGUCGUCACUCAAGCCCCACAGAGGAGCGAGACGAACCAGCAUAUCCAAGAGGUGAUUCAAGUGGGUCAACACGAAGAAGUUGGGAACUUCGGACACUUAUUAGCCAGACCAAAGAUUCUGCUUCUAAACAAGGACCCAUAGAAGCUAUCCAGAAAUCAGUCCGAUUGUUUGAAGAAAAGCGGUAUCGAGAAAUGAGGAGAAAAAAUAUCAUUGGUCAAGUUUGUGAUACCCCUAAAUCCUAUGAUAAUGUCAUGCAUGUUGGCUUGAGGAAGGUGACCUUCAAAUGGCAAAGAGGAAACAAAAUUGGAGAAGGACAAUAUGGGAAGGUUUACACCUGCAUCAGUGUGGACACGGGGGAGCUGAUGGCCAUGAAGGAGAUUCGAUUUCAACCAAAUGACCAUAAAACCAUCAAGGAGACUGCAGACGAAUUGAAGAUAUUUGAGGGCAUCAAGCACCCCAAUCUGGUUCGGUACUUUGGUGUGGAGCUGCACAGAAGCACAGUAACUUUGCCUAAUUAUCAGGAAAUCUCCAUGAGUUACAUCAUUUCUGCCUUCUCUCUGAAACUAGAGGAGUUCCUCCUAAAAUGAAGAAAUGUACAUCUUCAUGGAGUACUGUGACGAGGGCACAUUAGAAGAGGUGUCAAGACUGGGGCUCCAGGAGCAUGUCAUCAGGCUGUAUUCAAAGCAGAUCACCAUCGCCAUCAACGUCCUCCAUGAGCAUGGCAUAGUUCACCGUGACAUUAAAGGUGCCAAUAUCUUCCUUACCUCAUCUGGACUCAUCAAAUUGGGAGAUUUUGGAUGCUCAGUAAAGCUUAAAAACAAUGCCCAGACCAUGCCUGGUGAAGUGAAUAGUACACUGGGGACAGCAGCAUACAUGGCACCUGAAGUCAUUACCCGUGCUAAAGGAGAAGGCCACGGACGUGCAGCAGACAUCUGGAGUCUGGGCUGCGUUGUCAUAGAGAUGGUGACAGGCAAGAGGCCUUGGCAUGAAUAUGAACACAAUUUUCAGAUUAUGUAUAAAGUGGGAAUGGGACAUAAGCCCCCAAUUCCUGAAAGAUUAAGCCCUGAGGGAAAGGACUUUCUCUCUCACUGCCUGGAAAGUGACCCGAAGAUGAGGUGGACGGCCAGCCAGCUCCUCGACCAUUCUUUUGUCAAGGUUUGCACAGAUGAAGAGUGAAGCUCUCCAGCCCGUGGCCUGGUAGUGUGUGGACUUGGAGAACCCCUUAGUCACUACUGUAUGUAAUAUUUACAUAAACACUGCUGAGAAGCAGUGCUCGCCUUUUAACCUUCCAACUGAAGACUGCACAGGUGACAGGCGUCGCUGCUCCCGCUGCUCCUGUUUGUCUGACGUGGCACAGGGCCUCCUGAGUGACAGUGUCCAUGAGGUUAAAGAAGCUGCAUGUUAAGUGCCAUUACUACUGUACACGGACCACCGCCUCUGUCUCCUGUUUCUCCCGUGGUGGAGAACUGUGACAUCAAUGUAGUGUUUUCACCCUUCUGGGUUCAAAAGAAGUCGUGGUGUUAUCGGGUGUCCUGGACCUUGUUCUGAUCUCCUGUUGUUGAGUGCACUGACUGUGAAACCUUUUUGUUGUUGGCAAGCUGCAGGUUUGUUAUGCAAAAGGCUGAUUAAUGAAAUUUAAGAAAAAGGUUCUUUUUUCAAUAAAUGGUUUAUUUUAGGAAAGCUAA